rnacentral:rRNA from 1 species
GUGGGGAAUAUUGGGCAAUGGAGGAAACUCUGACCCAGCGACGCCGCGUGCGGGAUGAAGGCCUUCGGGUUGUAAACCGCUUUCAGUAGGGAAGAAGCGAAAGUGACGGUACCUACAGAAGAAGCACCGGCUAACUAUGUGCCAGCAGCCGCGGUAAUACAUAGGGUGCAAGCGUUGUCCGGAAUUAUUGGGCGUAAAGAGCUCGUAGGUGGUUCGUUACGUCGGAUGUGAAAAUCUGGGGCUCAACCCCAGACCUGCAUCCGAUACGGUCGAGCUAGAGUUUGGUAGGGGAGACUGGAAUUCCUGGUGUAGCGGUGGAAUGCGCAGAUAUCAGGAGGAACACCAAUGGCGAAGGCAGGUCUCUGGGCCAAUACUGACACUGAGGAGCGAAAGCGUGGGGAGCGAA